AAGCAAAGCACUUAGGAGACCUUGCAGGUUAGCAGCUGGUGGCAACCAUUUUAGGAGGCGCCUGGCUCCAGGGCUGCCCAGAGGAUCAAGAGAAAGCAGAGCUCAGUUUCAAUAAAUAAUACAUAGUCUCAGGUACAAUGUGUACCUGUAAGUACCUUCUGCGCAGCCUCACGUAGGUGUGCUCUCUCCGCGGUCUCCCAGACUCACAGUGCACCUGUUGUUGAUGAGACUGCUCCGUGAAAAGGCUGGUCUCCUAACAACCAGGGACAUUUGUUUAUAAGGACCUCUGAAAAAGUGAAUAAUCGGACUUCAGAAAGGCCAGGACCUGUUUUAGAUCUCCACUCUGCUGCUGUGCCAUCAACAGAACCUGCCCUCCUGAGCACUGUCUUCAGGGGCCAUGCUAUUUCCUGCACUCCCAGCCACUUGGAAACAACGCUUGGUGUUUCCUUUGGGAAAUUCUUCUCCUCCAUUGUCAGUCAAGUAGUCCUCCCCUCUCCUGGUCUGAAGAAGAUCAGGCUGUUCCACUCAGAUCCUUUUUCUGAAGAAUUCAAACCUUGACUAACCUGACACAAGUUGACUUGAGGUGAGCUGCCUCGCCUUAGAAGGACAAUGAGGAGCCUGGCCACAAUUCCUGCCACCCAGAUUCUCACAAUUCCUGACACUCCCAGCCUGACUUUCAUAUUUCCUUUGAUUCUCUGAGAUCUCUCCAAGCAACAGUGUGCACAAAAAAUCACGGAGAGGUUAUGGAAAAUUAAAUGAUGAAGAUCCAUCCCUGAGAUGCAGAUUCUAUGGAUCUGGCAUUGUUCCCAGGGAUGGGCACUUCUUUUCACAAACACUCCUAAAAAUUCUCAUGCUAGUGACCCAAUGAACACACUGAGAAACACUGCCAUAAACAACCCAUGAAUUCCAUGUGUUAAAUUAGAAAGAGGGGAUUUCUACUGUGUACUCCCAAAUUAUCUUAUCCACCCUUUAUAAAUCUUUGCAAAGUGAUGACUGAUGAGAGGUAUGUACCUUGGGGAGAGAGGGUAACAGAGAUUUCAGAUCUUUCAAGUGGACUUUUUUUUUAACUUCCCCUUGCCCUCCACCCUGUUCUGUUCUCCUUCAGCCACAUGCCCUGGAAAUUGAGUGUGUCCCAACAAUUUAUGUUGAAAAAAAGGUUGCAACAUAUGCAAUGAAACAUAUGCAAUGAUGUUUCAUAGUCUAAUAUCUACCCCAAGGAGCAAGCUAAUUUUCCCAAUAAUGAAAUGACCAAAGAGAACUCAAUGACUCCUGUCGGGAAGCUUCAUAGCCCCCUAAACCCCCUAAAAUGGUGAGAGACAAGAAAUACAUAAACUCCAACACACCCAGUGCCUUAGUCACAGCGCUGAGAGAAGCCACUUUGCCCCCAACUCCCUUUCUUCUGUGUUGCUGUUUGGAAAUCAGAGUGGGUUAUAUAAAUUAUUUAUUCCUUUGGUGAUGGGGAGGAGAACAGUAAUAUGCUCAUCACAAAAGUGCAAGGGGAAAAGAAAGCCCAGUAAACAAUAAAUGGAGCCACUUCUGAUGAUUCAAACAGAAGAGAAUUGGCUGUUAUCUCAAUGUAAUACCAAGAAAGAGAACAAACAGAGGAGUCUGGCUCAAUGGGAAGCAGAUCUAUUCAGCAGAAAGGUCAUCUGGCAAUAGAAGGCCUCUAAGCCAACAACACAAAAGGCUGCAUCAGAGCAGUGCUACCUGCCUGAGCUCCGAUGGGGGGAAGUGGGGAGGAAUGACACAUCUAAAAUAGGAGCCGCUUGUUUAAUAUGGGAAAGAUGGGGCAGCUUUUAAUACACAUGGCUGUUAAAGCCUUUAUUUCAAGGUCUCAAAAGACUAAUCCGGUGGUGUUUUCAUUUUUAAAUGGCUGCGAUUAAAGAUACUUUA